GGAAUCUUGGACAAUGGGGGCAACCCUGAUCCAGCGACGCCGCGUGGGUGAUGAAGGCCUUCGGGUUGUAAAGCCCUUUCACCGGGGACGAUGAUGACGGUACCCGGAGAAGAAGCACCGGCUAACUUCGUGCCAGCAGCCGCGGUAAUACGAAGGGUGCAAGCGUUACUCGGAAUUACUGGGCGUAAAGCGUGCGUGGGUGGUUUGUUAAGUCUGAUGUGAAAGCCCUGGGCUCAACCUGGGAAUUGCAUUGGAUACUGGCAGUCUAGAGUGCGGUAGAGGGUAGCGGAAUUCCCGGUGUAGCAGUGAAAUGCGUAGAUAUCGGGAGGAACAUCCGUGGCGAGGGCGGCUACCUGGACCAGCACUGACACUGAGGCACGAAAGCGUGGGGAGCAAAC
rnacentral:rRNA from 1 species